rnacentral:rRNA from 1 species
GGACGGGUGAGUAACACUUGGGAAUCUGCCCAGUAGUGGGGGACAACAUUCGGAAACGGAUGCUAAUACCGCAUACGCACUACGGUGGAAAGUGGGGGAUCUUCGGACCCUGCACUAUUGGAUGAGCCUAUGUCUGAUUAGCUUGUUGGUAGGGUAACGGCCUACCAAGGCGACGAUCAGUAGCUGGUCUGAGAGGACGAUCAGCCACACCGGGACUGAGACACGGCCCGGACUCCUACGGGAGGCAGCAGUGGGGAAUAUUGGACAAUGGGGGCAACCCUGAUCCAGCAAUGCCGCGUGUGUGAAGAAGGCCUGCGGGUUGUAAAGCACUUUCAGUUGGGAAGAAAAGUUGACGGUUAAUACCCGUUAGCCCUGACAUUACCAACAGAAGAAGCACCGGCUAACUCCGUGCCAGCAGCCGCGGUAAUACGGAGGGUGCGAGCGUUAAUCGGAAUUACUGGGCGUAAAGCGCGCGUAGGGGUUUGAUAAGUCGGAUGUGAAAUCCCCGGGCUUAACCUGGGAAUGGCAUUCGAUACUGUCAGACUAGAGUAUGGUAGAGGGUAGUGGAAUUCCCGGUGUAGCGGUGAAAUGCGUAGAUAUCGGGAGGAACACCAGUGGCGAAGGGGCUACCUGGACCAAUACUGACGCUGAGGUGCGAAAGGUGGGGGAGCAAACAGGAUUAGAUACCCUGGUAGUCCACGCCCUAAACUAUGUCAACUAGCCGUUGGGUUUUUUAAAAACUUA